UAAAUAAAUAACGAAGUAUAAAACGAAAGUAGAAUUAAAUAGUGGAUGAGGAUCUGUGGAUCUGUGGAUCUGAGACAAAAACACUUUUUCCAGGAAAAGUUAACAUUGAUUAGGCAUGGUGUAGCACCUCCUGUUUUUCCCUGUCACCAGUUGCAGUGCCUCCGAGACUGGAACACAGGGCUGAAAAAAAAGGGAAUCAGUGCUUCUGCAGAUGGGACAACUAAAUCCAUAAUGUUAUCAAAGAUAGACUACAGGGAUAUGUUUUCUUCUCUGAGAGAAACACUGAUCUUUAA